UGGCCCAGCAGGUUAUUCAGUUCCCAGU
rnacentral:piRNA from 1 species